CCCGGCAAUAAAUUGCCGGGCUAUUUUCAGCCGUCCCUGCCGGACU
rnacentral:sRNA from 1 species